GGCACAAACUCGAAGUAGGGUAGUUUAGUAGGGUCAAAUGAUUCUCCUAAUCCACUCUAUUUCAAUUUUGAGCCC
rfam:Haemonchus placei strain MHpl1 genome assembly, scaffold: HPLM_scaffold0004235